AGUCAUUUUCCGUUCAGUAGUGCCGGUGUUGGCAGAUAGUUAUUCUGUGUUCGUGUGAUUAUACUUCGUUUUAAUUUCUAGUAGUCUGUUUGGGUGAGGAUAAAACUGCGGAAUAAAGUGAUAAGACUUGGACUAUUAAAUAAGAAGCAUUAGUAACCUCAUGCUACUGAGCUUCAAAUUCUGCAAAAAUUCCUUUUGUGUAAUCGGUACAGUGAAGUUUCAACAGGACUUUGCGGUCCCAGGAUUGAGGUGUACAACUAGAAGGCUCUAAUCCACAGGAAACCUGGGAGACUUAAUCUGGAGGAAGAUGUGAAGAUGUCUGAAUGAUUUUGAAAUAUUUUCAGUUGAAGUAAAAUAAAACUGCAAUGUUUGUAAAUAAAAGUUGAUUUGCCCAUUU